GGAAUAUUGGACAAUGGGCGCAAGCCUGAUCCAGCCAUGCCGCGUGUGUGAAGAAGUCCUUCGGGUUGUAAAGCACUUUGGUACGGGAAGAAACGCACUCGGUUAAUACCCGGGUGUCAUGACGGGACCGUAAGAAUAAGCACCGGCUAACUCCGUGCCAGCAGCCGCGGUAAUACGGAGGGGGCAAGCGUUAAUCGGAAUUACUGGGCGUAAAGCGCGCGUAGGUGGUUUUGUAAGUCGGAUGUGAAAGCCCUGGGCUCAACCUGGGAAUUGCAUUCGAUACUGCUUAACUAGAGUAUGGUAGAGGGAAGUGGAAUUUCCGGUGUAGCGGUGAAAUGCGUAGAUAUCGGAAGGAACACCAGUGGCGAAGGCGACUUCCUGGGCCAAUACUGACACUGAGGUGCGAAAGCGUGGGUAGCAAAC
rnacentral:rRNA from 1 species